rnacentral:rRNA from 1 species
GAUGAACGCUGGCGGCGUGCUUAACACAUGCAAGUCGAACGGUGAAGCAGGAGCUUGCUCUUGUGGAUCAGUGGCGAACGGGUGAGUAACACGUGAGCAACCUGCCCCUGACUCUGGGAUAAGCGCUGGAAACGGCGUCUAAUACUGGAUAUGUGAUGUGACCGCAUGGUCUGCAUCUGGAAAGAAUUUCGGUUGGGGAUGGGCUCGCGGCCUAUCAGCUUGUUGGUGAGGUAAUGGCUCACCAAGGCGUCGACGGGUAGCCGGCCUGAGAGGGUGACCGGGCACACUGGGCCUGAGACACGGCCCAGACUCCUACGGGAGGCAGCAGUGGGGAAUAUUGCACAAUGGGCGGAAGCCUGAUGCAGCAACGCCGCGUGAGGGAUGACGGCCUUCGGGUUGUAAACCUCUUUUAGCAGGGAAGAAGCGAAAGUGACGGUACCUGCAGAAAAAGCACCGGCUAACUACGUGCCAGCAGCCGCAGUAA